AGGUAAUUGGUACACCCCUGGUUCACAUUAGCUGUGGUCAAAGUGAACGAUCUCUGGUUAGAUCAAAUACUGGUGAGAAAAAACUACUUCAGAGAAGAGCAAAGAAAGAACACCAGUUAUGGAAGAAAAGAGAUUCUGCUGGGUCUGGGCAGAAGGCACUCAAUCUUGUUAGGAUUGUAAGUCUAUACUAUAUUGUUCCUGCUGUUAGUAGGCUAACUAAUGCGUUUAAAUAAUUAACCAUACUUUAUACAAAACAGAGUUCCUAAGUCUAUACUAGAUUGUCUAUUAAUUUCUACCUUUGAGAAGAAGAAUGCUGUUUAUGAUUCACUAGAUAAAUGGGUAGCAUAGGAAAACUGAGUUUCCAGUGAUUACAGCAGCUAAGGCGUUAAGAAUAUUAAGGAAACAAAAUCAGUGGAGACGAUUGUCGUUCCUAUGUGGGUAGUUUGCUUACUGAUUGCCGUUCUCUAGCUUCCAUGUUUACUUCAUGUGUUUUCAGUUUUCGUUUCUUUAUGCAUUGUUAUAUAUUUAUAUGUAUAUUUUAAUAAUGUGAUUGGUUUGAUUUGAAUUAGUUGAUUUCUUGAA